AUGCACGCGCCGGCGAGGAAGGCCGCGGGCGGAGGGGGCCGCGGCCCGGUUGCGUCGGCGCUGCUGCUGCUGGCGGUCGGGGUGUUCGCCUUCCUGAUCUCGUACAGCGUGCUCGCCAUGGUGCUCCGAGGCGGCGGCAACGGAGGAGGAGGAACUACGGGGGUCGGGACGGGAGCGAGGGACCCGGUGGUGCGGAUGCCAGAGUGGAUGCGGGCGGCGGGCGGCGCGAGGGGCCAGAGGCGGCCGUUCCACGUGGCGCUCACGGCCACGGACGCCCCGUACAGCAGGUGGCAGUGCCGGGUGAUGUACUUCUGGUACAAGCGGAUGCAGGCGCGGCCGGAGGGCGCCGACAUGGGCGGCUUCACCCGCGUGCUGCACUCGGGGAAGCCCGACGGCCUCAUGGACGAGAUCCCCACAUUCGUCGUCAGCCCCCUCCCCGCCGGCAAGGACCGUGGCUAUAUCGUCCUAAACAGGCCAUGGGCAUUUGUACAAUGGCUGCAGCAGGCAAAGAUUGAAGAAGAGUACAUACUGAUGGCAGAACCAGAUCAUAUAUUUGUGAAACCUUUACCAAAUUUAGCUUUUGACAAUGAUCCAGCAGCAUUCCCCUUCUUUUACAUCACACCAUCCGAACAUGAAAAAAUUAUCAGGAAAUACUAUCCUGAAGAAAGGGGUCCAAUCACAAAUGUUGACCCUAUCGGGAAUUCCCCUGUAAUAAUUAAGAAGACACUGCUUGAGAAGAUUGCUCCCACAUGGAUGAAUGUAUCACUACAAAUGAAAGAGGAUCAAGAGACUGAUAAGGCUUUUGGAUGGGUUUUGGAAAUGUAUGCAUAUGCUGUUGCCAGUGCAUUGCAUGGGGUUCAACAUAUCCUUCGUAAAGAUUUCAUGAUCCAGCCACCAUUUGAUAAGAAGCUCGACAAUACAUUUAUUAUCCACUUCACCUAUGGAUGUGACUAUACACUCAAGGGCGUACUGACAUAUGGAAAAAUUGGUGAGUGGAGAUUUGACAAGAGAUCAUACCAAGAUAGGCCACCACCAAGAAAUCUUACAUUGCCCCCUCCAGGAGUGCCAGAAAGCGUGGUUACACUGGUAAAAAGGGUCAAUGAAGCUACCGCAAACCUUCCUAGGUGGGAUGAUGGAUUAUAA
rnacentral:rRNA from 1 species